GAUUUUCACUGCUCAGGUGUUGCAAAGCCUAAUCCUUAUUCAGGAACCAAAACGCUCCCCUCUCCUUGCCUGCGGUGCUUGGAUGCCUGCCUUUGGCAGUAGCCCCAGACUCCUGCAGAAGAUGAAGACAUCCCUCCAUGCCUAUAGAUGGAAAAGCGCCAACAUGGAUGCCAUCAGAAGGACGCAGCUGAGCAUAUGCUGAGAAAAUUGUGGCAUCCAUACUGUACAUGGGGAAGGGCUGACUGAACACACCAGUUUGUUGAAGCUUAUGGCCCUGAAAAGGAAACAUAGGUUUCCUGUAAAUGUCAUUCAGGGAUAUGCUAACUGUUAUUUCCUGGCACUGGAUCAUGAUGCUUUCAACACAUUCUGUUCCUCUACCUCUGCUGCUACCUCUGCUGCCUGCCUGCCUGGCUGUGCGCAGUGAUAGCUCUCCUGUCUUCUCACCUUUCCUCCUCCCCGCGCCAGGCAAAGGUAAGAGAGACUUAGGCAAAGUGAAAAACUGACUUUGGGAUAGAGCAUUGAGGAGGAAAAAAGAAAUAGGAAGGGAUGACUGCGUGUUGCAUGCCUUCCCGGCAUUGCCACCAUCUCGGGGUGUAUUUGGGCUCCAUUACUUUGACUCCAUUAUGAGUGAACUGGUCCCCUGGUGCCAUUCUGCCAUGGCAUUUCAUUUGUACAGAUUGCUUUCAGCCCUAGUGCCUACACUACGUCUGCUUCACUACAUGGUCUUAAGAGGCUUCCCUAAGUACCUUUUGCAGUGUGAGUUGUCUCUUUGGUUGUCUGCACUCCUCAUCUCCCUCCCUUCCUCCAUCCUUCAGGUAUUUCGGUUGGGAGGGACUGUGUCAGCAAGAGAGAUGAAGCACGGAGAGAUGAAAUCUCAGCCCUGUACACAGCCUGGCUGCCGUCUGUACCUGGGCCUUGCCGCACCAUCCCUCGAAUGCAAAGCAAUUCAACGAAAAGAGAAAUCACACAUUUCUGACCCAGAAAGAGAGGAAUAUCACAGUCUCUCAGGACACGCGCUGACGGGAGGAUUUCUGGAACCUCAACCUCCACUCAGCUUUUUGGGCAGGAAUGGGCCAACCCAGGCAUGUGCUCACUGCAGAAGAGCCCAGGAGAUGCUGGUGCAAAGGCUCACUGCAAGCACCUGCUGCUUCUGGAGGAGUUCCUGUUGCAAUGCAUGUGCUCAGGAUGAAUAGCCACCAUUCAGAUUUCCUUCAGGAAACACACCCUCGCUCCUGUUCACUAUAAGACAGCUGAGAGCAAG
rnacentral:lncRNA from 1 species